UCCAAUGCUUUCUCAGAACAAACUUCUUUAAGGGAAGGUCAAGCUGCUCCUCCAUGAACUUGACUGGAAGUGGAAAAUCAAGAUUACAGAGGAAAUGGACAAGCAGGAAAUAUCUCUGAGGUGUGUCUUCAAAAUGAACAGUUGGAGAAGUCAGAGUGACCCUUCAGCUCUCAAACUCUAGGAUCUUGCACACAUUAGAGCUUCUAGUUCAAUUGCUCCGUCCAUACUUUCAGAGCAAGAGAACAAUGUGGCUUCAGCCUUCGGGAAGACACUAUUUACUGGCAGAGUGGUGACAGGUGAACCUUGUUACUGUUUUAGCCGAUGGAAUAUGGCAGAAAUGAUGCCAAGUGGCUUCUGUGGCUACGGUAUAUGAACCACCUAGCCUCUGACUGGUAUCUUGAGACGCAUACUCUGGGGAAGACAGCCACCACAGAAGAGGUCCAACUACACAGGAAGGACCAUGCGUGCAGACCUGUUGAGCGACCAGCUGACAGCAGCCUGGAGUAGCAGCUGCCUGGUAAGCCAGAUAUCUGGCUCCGCUCAACCUGGAGAAUCCUACUGGAUAUAAAAGAUCCUGGAGAAGAAUGUUGGGAAGGAAAAGCAGUUUUCCAUCUGCUUGGCUCGUUCUUACUGGCUGGUCUUCCGAAGAGCACAAGGUUUUCCAAGAUGAUACAUAUUCAAGAAAGUCGGUGCCACCUCUUAACUCUGUUGUUUUUACCAGAAUCCUCUCUUUGGCUGUUAUAACCACACUUUACCUUGGGAUGUUUAAACUGCUGCAUGCAACUGUUA